GAAAGUUGAAAGUUCAUAGUUUGCAGCAUGACAACAAUGGAGCUACGGGGGGAGCUCAAAUAUAGAGACGGAAGAAAGAAAGAAUUAAUAAUGAAAACAGAAAAUAGUUUACCCUCAUUGAUAGUGGGGAUAAAGAAAUUGAACGCCGACGUAUCGGUGCUUCUUACCGAGCUAGUUGUGCAAGAAAAACUUAAAGGGGGCAGUGACGACCAGGGAGAUUUUGAAGCUGAUGAUGAUGGAGAGAAUGACAGUGACGAAGAGGAGGAAGACACAAAAAUUGUGAUCAAGGCUCCUGUGUCAGAACCUCCAGCAAAACGAUCUAAAAGCCUGAGAACAUAAGGGCUCAAGGGCCACAAUGGCGCCUGGUCCACUACAACAAAACUGUGGGAUUUGUACUUUGUCAUAACUCAUGUAUCAGGCAAAUAAUCUUCACCUUACAAAACGAGUGUAAUUUAAGUGUAUUCUUUGUUGACAGAUCAGAAAGUUGUUCCAGUGUUCUUGUAAAAAUGACUAUAAAUGACAUUUUCCAAAACUUUUUUUUUUUCUAAUCCCAGGCCUUUUUUGGUUUUGUUUCACAGUGCAUUUACAAAAUAAAUACAAUCAGAAGCUCAAACAUAAAUACUCUUUCAAUAAAACAAACAUUAGGGCAA